rnacentral:tRNA from 1 species
AGGGAUGUAGCACAACCUGGUAGCGUAUUUGUUUUGGGUACAAAAUGUCGCAGGUUCAAAUCCUUUCAUCCCUA